rnacentral:lncRNA from 1 species
GUCCUUUUCAAUCUCAUUUUGCAGAUGAGGAAACUGAGGCAGACUGGUUUAAGUGACUUGCCCAGGGUCACAAAGCCAGUAUGUGUCUGAGGCUUCACAGGACCUCUUAAGUCUGCUGGUUUGUAGAGGGCAAACUAGAUCUUGUGCAGUGCACAUAUUAGCCACCAGAGGGUAGUGGGUAGCCAGGAAUUGUCCCUCUUGGCCCCACCCCUUCAUCCUUAUCAUGUAGUCUUACUCUCAUAGCUUCCCUAGCACUACUAGGAUGCUAGACAAAAGGCACAGCUUCUGAGGUGGGAGACUCACCACCUCUGUCUUCUAAUAGACCAGAUGUUCCAGGUCUAUGGAAGCAUGAAAGAUACCCUCAGCGGCUUGUAGUCAUUCAUUAUUUUUCCCUGAGGGGACUGAAGCAUUGAAAAUCCUAGCACACCAAGGUCCCUGAAGAACUUGGCCUUGAGUAAUGAGAACUCUGGAGAAGGCCGGAGGCCCAGCUUGGGGAUGUUAUGUAUACUAGCACGAGGAGGUGGGGCUAAAUGCUCAGCUUGAGUAUCCUUGAGACAAGAUGAAUUCCAGCCUGGACACCUGAGGGUGAGUGUGGUGCUUGGGAAAGCACAACGGAAUUGGAAGUCGAGGUCCUGGGCUCAAACCCCAACUCCACCCUUAACGACCUCUGUGACGAUAAGUCACUUCUCUCAUUUCCUCAACAGCAGCGUAAAGAUAAUGAAUGCUCACCUCCUCUGACCCUUCAUAAGGAAUGCAGUUUACAAAAUGCUGAAGAGGGAGUUCCCGACUGCCUCAGUGUGGGGAAGUCCCACUACCAAUGCAGGUUCCUGCUAACACAAUUAUACGCCACUGCCAAAAGGAUCAGCCCUCUUGGGACAAGGAAAGUGGAUGGGAAAACCCAAAAGCUCACGGCAGAAUGGUAGCGUGGAAAAAGCGUGAGAUUUGGAAACGUAAGACCUAGAUUCAAAUCGAUCCUCUUGUACUUAUUUGUGGGACACUGGGCAAGUCACUGGGUUUCGGUUUCCCUAUUUGUAAAAUGAGAGGAUUGAACUAGUUCUCUGAAGUCAAAGGGUUAUGGAUCUGGACCUUGAAAAGGACCUGGAGGCCACCUAGUACAAACCCUCAUUUUACAGAUUAGAAGUUGAGGCUCAAGGGAAC